AUAUUGUUAUUUAAUAUAACAUAUUGCAUGCUUAUAGGCAGAAUUUGGCUGUACCUUCCCUUUUUGUAACAUCUACACUGUUUACCCAUAUUCACAAUAAAGAAAUUUGAUUUGAUUUGAUUUGAAAUUGAUGAUUUAAAAUGCUUUUCGUUUACAGUUCAAAUCGCC